AGAGUUUGAUUAUGGCUCAGGAUGAACGCUAGCGGCAGGCUUAACACAUGCAAGUCGAGGGGCAGCGGGAUGUAGCAAUACAUUGCCGGCGACCGGCGGAUGGGUGCGUAACGCGUAUGCAACCUACCUUAUACAGGGGAAUAACCUUUCGAAAGGGAGACUAACACCCCAUGGUAUUGAUUUAAGGCAUCUUAGAUUAAUUAAAUAUUUAUAGGUAUAAGAUGGGCAUGCGUAUGAUUAGCUAGUUGGUAAGGUAACGGCUUACCAAGGCGACGAUCAUUAGGGGUUCUGAGAGGAAGGUCCCCCACACUGGUACUGAGACACGGACCAGACUCCUACGGGAGGCAGCAGUGAGGAAUAUUGGUCAAUGGGCGCAAGCCUGAACCAGCCAUGCCGCGUGCAGGAAAGACGGCCUUAUGGGUUGUAAACUGCUUUUACAUAAGACUAACCGUAUAUUUGCGAAUAUACCUGAAUGUAUUAUGAGAAUAAGGAUCGGCUAACUCCGUGCCAGCCGCAGC
rnacentral:rRNA from 1 species